rnacentral:lncRNA from 1 species
GUUAUUUCGUUGCCGUGGGGCUCACCCGCCAACGCAGUAAAAUAAUUUAACUUCUUCCGCGUGUCUAUCUCUCUAUAUAUACAUAUUAAUUAUUAUUAUUACGUAGAAAAGGCCCGGGGUAUCGUCGGCAGGGUCGGGAGGGACAGGAUACAUUCACGUUUCACUGGGUGUUAUAAAAAACGGCUGAAAAAUCGAGAUCAAACGUCCAACCCGAUACUGUUCCGAGGAAGUUUAUGGCCCAAGUGUAAACCUAAAACCUAUAGCGGUAUGAAAAACCACGUCGAAUGUAAAUAAGUGUAGGAGCGAAAAGCAACCGUGACGUCGAGCAGGUCACAUUUUGAAGUAGAAAAGUAUAGGUAAUUUUGUCUAUCGUGAUUCAAGGUCAACAAUUCGUUUCCAUUACGUUAGUACCGAUACUAAUUUAAUAUUUGAAUAACUAGUCAUUUCUUCUUUUUUUUUUUUUUAGUUUUGUUACUUAUAACCUGAAGAGAAGUGACAUUUUCUCCCGUAGGGGAUUAGGUAUAUACAGGGAUUGCCCAUUACCAGAGGACGAGGUGGUAAGAAGUUACACCGUAUACAUUAGAUAAAUAGACCCGGAAUAAUCAUUAAACCAUUAUGUCAUAUGAUAUGAACAGUAUUUUCGAUUAUAACACUAACUAUAAAAAAAAAUAUUAUAUAUUAUACCAACUUCUUGUAGGAUAUCAGUAAAUCCACUGUUUUGUUUUAGUGAUGUGACGUAUCGUGAAUGAAAUAAUUAAUGUUAGUCGUGUCAAAUCGACUCGAUUAUCUAUUGUCGAGUCGAUGAUUUCCAGUAUUGGGGGAAAAAAACCAUACUAAUAUUCUUUCCGUAAAAAAAAAAAAAAUAAUAAUAAUAAUAAUAAAAACCGCACGUACAUUAUUAAAUUGGCUUUUAAGUAUCGCAUGUAAAACGGCCGUCACGACGAAUGAUAGAAAAUAUCGCGAUAGACUAUACGAUAUUAUCGCAUCGAGACAAUAUUUAUUGUACCUUCCGUCGUCGUCGUCACAUUAAUCUUCACCACUGCCGUUUUGUCGAGUGUCAAUUUUUUUUCUCGAUAUACCUAUGCAGCCAUCGUCAUCGCUUCGCCCGAACGAUUCCCUUCACUCGACCCGACUCGACGUCGUCGUUGCAGCCGCUACGACUGUUCUAUAAAAUAGUAAGGUCACGUCACCAGCUCCCGAUAGAGAACCUAUAUUAAAUACUCGUAGACAGGGAUGGGCAAGAUACUUUACAAACGACUACCUAAAUACUAUUGAUACUAUUUUUAGUCCCUAGAUACAUGACACUAGAUGACUAUUCGAUACUUGCAUUUUGUGUAUUUAAUUACUAGAUACGCUCGAUGCAUUAAAAAUUAAAAUAUUAAUUACAUUUUUCACGUAGACGUGUGGUAUCUUAAAAGAUGCGGUGAUUAUUUAUUUUAGACAUUUUCCCGAUUUCCAGACGGCUGUAAUCAAUUCGCACCAAAAUGUAUAGAGCAUGCGUAGUGUACGCCAACAUUUUUGAAUUGCGUUUGUAACUUGCACCAAAAUAAAGAAAUGCAAUUUUCCCCGUUUAAUAUAUGAAUAUGUUUAAAAUAUGAAUUGUAAUUUAAAUCGAUUAUUAUAUUGGUAGCGCAUACGCGUUUAGAAAGUAGAGUAUAAGAUAUUGAUACCUACCUAUAUGAAAUAAGUUAACAUCAAAAUAUUCCAUUUCGGAUUCUGAGCGGUUAUUCCACUAACUUAUUCAGUAUUCACGCCGUUCUACGGUACGCCGGUAUUGACUUUAAGGCUAUUUAAUAUCAAUCAUGUAUGAAACAUAUACAUAGAUACGUACUCAUUUUAGUGUAAAUUACAAACUCACUUUCGUUAAACCAUUUUUGAAUUUUAAUAUAUUUUUUAAAAUGUCAGACGGAAAAACGACCCGGCUUGACCCCUUUGUUUCGGGUGCCUAUCGGUGAGAUACUUUAAAAUGUGUAUCUAGAUGAUCGAUACUCUCCAGAACUGUAUCGCAGUAAAAAAAAAUACAAAAUACAACUGUAUCUAAUUUACUGUUCAACCCUGCGUAUAGGUGUUAAGCAGUUAUAGAAAAUAGCGCAAGAUACUAUCACCGAGUCCGCUCUAUUCGUAUCCUUUUUUCGUAUCCGUUUAUUGUUUUCGUAUCGUCGACGACGACGAGCGAUCUUCCGGUUUCCCCUUGUCGUCGCCCUACUCGCCCACCGUGCGUAUACUUACCUAUUUAUUUUUAUUCGUGUUGCUAUAAUAGCCCUCCUACUCUAUCCCCGCGAUCCCCACCGCCGCCGACGACACUUUGGCCUACUUUUC